CUGUUAUUUUCUCUAAGGGUUAGGGAUUAAUGGUUAUGGUGUUAUAGCUGCAGAAAAAUCUAACUGUUGUGUUGUUCCAGGCUGCAGAUAUUUGCUGGAAUCGAAAUAAUGCCAAUGAAUUUAGUUCCAUCGUAAAGUGCAAAAUUUUCCCGAAAGAUUUAUUUGCUACUUUUCUAUUGUAAGAUGCUCCGUUAUUAGGUUAUAAAGUAAAUUCGCUUCUAGUUUUUUUUUUUUUAUCCGUGAGUAUCCGGACUAACUUAUGCAUACUUCGACCAAUCACGGGGAAAACCCGCAUGACUCUACAACAUUUUUGGGUGUCGAGGAAACUUAUAGGAAAAUAAUUUCUAAGAAGCGAUAGAUCAUGUCUUCUUUUUUACUACUAGAUCGACUCAUGAUGAUUCACUCUUGAUUGAAACCAAUCUAAAGUUUUCACAUUUUUCGAGACUUUGUUCCUUGUGUUUCGAUCUUCUGCUUGUAUGUGACUUACUAUUUGCAUAUUGGACCUGCUUCUGUUUCAGAGUUGCUUUCAAAGAUCCCUAAUGAAUCUUCUGUUCUGAUGAACUCAGAGAACAGAAGGAAAACAAAAAUUAGAAAAUUAUGAAUAAACAAGAAUUGUAUAGACCAAGAAAGACUCAUACUCAAAAAACUAAAAAAUGAAAGACUCCAGUGUUAACAUGUUCUUGUUUGCGUGUGUGUGUGCUUUUCUUCUCUUGCUUGCAGAUUAUAGAAUAUGCAGAAAAUUGGGUAUCCUACCACUGCUGCUGAAUUAUCUCAGUUUCGUCAACUUUACAAGGAUUUCAUUUUGGCAUGAUAAUCAAUCUCCAUUCAACUGGCUUUCAAUCCGGUUUUCCAUGCUUGGACCAGACCAGGCAUGUAAAAUUUGAACUUCACUUUGUUCGGGAACCAGUAGUUUAAAGAUGUACGACUCCGAUAUGUUUCCAACUGAGUGAUUAACCAAGUCUCAGUGUAUUGAAUGCCUUGAAACUCUUGCCUUCCAAACUUCUGUCUCCUACCAACGUAUCGUAAGUUUGCGGACACAUGUGAGGUGUAUCCAUCAAUCCAUUAUUGUAUAUGAAGUCUCCUUACAUCUGGUAUGAUACUAAUACAUAUAGAUCUUGUAAUAAAUUUAUGGCAUUUUAUUACUCAUUUAUUCCAUCAAGCCUGAGAGUAAUGUAGUAAAUAAAUUCAAAUUUAGUUACCAUUUUAGUCA